AGAGUUUGAUCCUGGCUCAGANNCACGCUGGCGGCGUGCCUAACACAUGCAAGUCGCACGAGAAAGUGGAGCAAUCCAUGAGUAAAGUGGCGCACGGGUGAGUAACACGUGAAUUAUCUACCUCCGAGUGGGGAAUAACUGAGAGAAAUCUUAGCUAAUACCGCAUAACACUUACGAGUCAAAGCAGCAAUGCGCUUGGAGAGGAGUUCGCGGCCGAUUAGUUAGUUGGCGGGGUAAUGGCCCACCAAGACGAUGAUCGGUAUCCGGCCUGAGAGGGCGCACGGACACACUGGAACUGAAACACGGUCCAGACUCCUACGGGAGGCAGCAGUGGGGAAUUUUGCGCAAUGGGGGAAACCCUGACGCAGCAACGCCGCGUGGAGGAUGAAAUAUCUUGGUAUGUAAACUCCUUUCGAUGGGGAAGAUUAUGACGGUACCCAUAGAAGAAGCCCCGGCNNANNNGUGCCAGCAGCCGCGGUAAUACGAGGGGGGCAAGCGUUGUUCGGAUUUAUUGGGCGUAAAGGGUGCGUAGGCGGUUUGGCAAGUCUGAUGUGAAAUCUAUGGGCUCAACCCAUAGUCUGCAUCAGAAACUGCCGGGCUUGAGUAUGGGAGAGGUGAGUGGAAUUUCCGGUGUAGCGGUGAAAUGCGUAGAUAUCGGAAGGAACACCUGUGGCGAAAGCGGCUCACUGGACCAUAACUGACCUGAUGCACGAAAGCUAGGGGAGCAAACAGGAUUAGAUACCCUAGUAGUCC
rnacentral:rRNA from 1 species